AAUCUGAAAUUUUUGGAUUCAUUUGUUCAUCUAAUAAAAUGUUACUAGUUUUGAGAUCACGAUGAAUUAUUCGAAAACGAGAAUCUUCGUGAAGGUAAAGAAGCCCUCGAGCAAUGCCCUUUAUGAUUAUGUAACGUUUUUCCCAAUCCAAUUGCAAGCGCUGGACUGGAUCUAUAUAUUCAAUAAAUUACUGAAGUUGAGCAAGUUAUAAAAUUCAAUACUUUGAAUAAAGAAAGACAUGUUUAUUGUUAUUAGCUAGUCAUACCAAAUAUGAGGCUGUUGAGGCUCAAAUUAGGCACGAACUCAUAGACAAGAAGCCUUUCCGCUUGUUCAAAGCAGAAACCUCGGAGCGUAACCAAAUUCUUGUGCUUAAGUUUAGCUACUAACAGGAUUUCAUUCAUAAAUUCAAGUUCACCUUGUCUAGAAUCCCUAGAUAAUCUCUUCACUGCUAUAUCCUCUCCAUUGGGAAAUGUACCCUUGUAUACUGCACCAAAACCGCCUUUUCCAACUUGAUUAGCUUCAGAGAAGUUAUUUGUCGCAAGCCUAAUUGUUUCCAAGUCAAAUCUCAAGGAUUCCACAUCUAUGAUGCCAUCCGCACUUUUAACAUCCUCUCUUGGUUUCUUUCGUCUCAAAAUAAUGCUGAUGCAGGUAAUAAGAAUCACAGAAAUAACAGCAGAAACAAUAAUAACGAUGACCACACUCUGCUUUCCUUUCGAAGGAUCCUGAGAAGAUGGAAAUUCACCAACAGGACCAUCAUAGAAUUGGUUAAUCUCAUACCUAAGAUUACAACUUGGGAGAACAACUGUUCCGCCUUGCCUUGCUCUGCAACACUGUGGAAUAACUCCAGAAGCAUUAUAAAGGCAAUAACUGCAUUGUGAUUGGGAUAAAUCAGGAGUGCACUGUGAAAGUGCAUAUAUAGUUUGAAAGUCUGGAGCACUUAUUUUUCCACGAGCAUAUUUGAGACGAGAAUCGCCAGCUGCUGCUUGAUUUCGCUGUCUAUCCAACAGGGAAUACAGGGACUUAUUGAACCCAUUAAUGUCUGAAACAAAAUUCAGGUUAUACCAAGAAGAGGAAGGCUCAACUUCCAACUGGCCAAAGAUGGGCAUUCCUGUGUAGCGCAACAUGCAUUUUUCAAAACCUACAAUAGCUUCCUUUUGAUUGGGACAAAGUGAAGUUAUUGCGAUGCUUGAAUUAUUGAUGCACUCACGGCAGGUAUCCGGCCUGACAUCUGCUCUGCAAAGUGCAAUUGCAUAAACCUUGUUAUUGUUUUCUCCGUAAGAGAAAUUGUAGAAUCCAGAAUCAAUUUCGGUGUCGGUGUACAUAGAGUUGAGUAGUCGACGGAGGUUAGCCUGGUAAGUGCUAUUUGCUGUGUAAUUGCCCAGCUUGUCCAAACAAUGGUGAUAGAGAAGUUCAGGUUGAGAAGUAGUGAGGGCAAUGAAAUGCAGGAAAAUGGAACAGAGGAGGUAAACCAUUUGUAUUUGUAAAGAGGCCAUUAGUCUCAACUCACUCCCUUCCUUUACCAAAUUUAGCAAGCCUAAUGCAAGUAAGAUAGAAAUAAUUGAAAAUUUGAAAGAGUUCAAUCUUUCCCCAAAUCCUUGGG
rnacentral:misc_RNA from 1 species